rnacentral:rRNA from 1 species
GAUGAACGCUGGCGGCGUGCCUAACACAUGCAAGUCGAGCGUGAACCGUCUGAAUGAAACUUCGGUCGAGUGAGGAUGGGGAAAGCGGCGGACGGGUGAGUAACGCGUAGGCAACCUGCCCCGUACAGAGGGAUAGCCUCGGGAAACCGGGAUUAAGACCUCAUAAUACCAUUAUCUCACAUGUGAUAAUGGUCAAAGAUUUUAUCGGUAUGGGAUGGGCCUGCGUCUGAUUAGCUGGUUGGUGGGGUAACGGCUCACCAAGGCGACGAUCAGUAGCCGACCUGAGAGGGUAAUCGGCCACAUUGGAACUGAGACACGGUCCAAACUCCUACGGGAGGCAGCAGUGGGGAAUAUUGCACAAUGGGCGAAAGCCUGAUGCAGCAACGCCGCGUGAGCGAGGAAGGCCUUUGGGUCGUAAAGCUCUGUCGAGGAGGAAGAUAAUGACGGUACUCCUCGAGGAAGCCCCGGCUAACUACGUGCCAGCAGCCGCGGUAAU